rnacentral:rRNA from 1 species
AUUGAACGCUGGCGGCAUGCCUUACACAUGCAAGUCGAACGGUAACGCGGGGCAACCUGGCGACGAGUGGCGAACGGGUGAGUAAAGCAUCGGAACGUGCCCAGUAGUGGGGGAUAGCCCGGCGAAAGCCGGAUUAAUACCGCAUACGACCUAAGGGUGAAAGGGGGGGAUCGCAAGACCUCUCGCUAUUGGAGCGGCCGAUGUCAGAUUAGCUAGUUGGUGGGGUAAAAGCUCACCAAGGCGACGAUCUGUAGCUGGUCUGAGAGGACGACCAGCCACACUGGGACUGAGACACGGCCCAGACUCCUACGGGAGGCAGCAGUGGGGAAUUUUGGACAAUGGGGGGCAACCCUGAUCCAGCAAUGCCGCGUGUGCGAAGAAGGCCUCGGUUGUAAG